GCGCUCGCUUCGGCGGCACAUAUACUAAAACAGAAACGACACAGAGAAGAUUAGCAUGGCCGCUGUGCUUGGAUAACACGCAAACUCACGAAGUGUUCCACAUUUUU